UACUAGAGUAGCACUCGCAUAUCAAUAAGCGGAGGAAAAGAAACUAACAAGGAUUCCCCUAGUAACGGCGAGUGAAGCGGGAAGAGCUCAAAUUUGAAAUCUUCAAGGGUUUCCCUUGACGAAUUGUAGCUUAAAGAAGUGUUUUCUGUUAGAGAGGUGGUAAAAGUUCUUUGGAAUAGGACAUCAUAGAGGGUGAGAAUCCCGUAUUUGACUAUUCUUUCUAGCUUUGUGAUACACUUUCAAAGAGUCGGAUUGUUUGGGAAUGCAGUCCAAAAUGGGUGGUAAAUUUCAUCUAAAGCUAAAUAUUGGCGAGAGACCGAUAGCGAACAAGUACCGUGAGGGAAAGAUGAAAAGAACUUUGAAAAGAGAGUUAAACAGUACGUGAAAUUGUCAAAAGGGAAGCGUUUGACACCAGUGUUGUUUUUCCGAAAAUCAAUUAAAAAUUGAUUCAUGCCAGGUUGUAUUGACCUUAUCAGCUUGCAAUUUGGUUUUGGGUCUCUUUUUGAUGCACUUUUCGGUUAACAAGUCAACAUCAAUUUCCUUUGCUGUAAAAAGGUAAGAGGAAGGUGGCUUCAAUUUCGGUUGAAGUGUUUAUAGCCUUUUAUCUCUGCAGUCGGGGAGAUUGAGGUCUGCAGCGUAGAUCCUUCGGGGCUAGAUACAUUUAUGCUAAGUUAUAGCUUUUCAUAGACAACUUGUUGACUAUGUUUAGUCAUGUAGCUUACUCGUAAGUGCUAUUUUACCUACGCUUAGGAUGUUGAUAGUCACAGCGUGUAC
rnacentral:rRNA from 1 species